rnacentral:rRNA from 1 species
UACGUAGGGAGCAAGCGUUGUCCGGAAUCAUUGGGCGUAAAGAGCGUGUAGGCGGCCUUUUAAGUCCUGCGUGAAAUCCUGCGGCUCAACCGCAGACGGUCGUGGGAAACUGGAAGGCUAGAGUGCGGGAGAGGAGAGUGGAAUUCCCGGUGUAGCGGUGAAAUGCGCAGAUAUCGGGAAGAACACCCGUGGCGAAGGCGGCUCUCUGGAACGCAACUGACGCUGAGACGCGAAAGCGUGGGGAGCAAACAUG